GGAAGUAAAAGUCGUAACAAGGUCUCCGUAGGUGAACCUGCGGAGGGAU
rnacentral:rRNA from 4 species